UAUGGUUCGCUACAUCGACGACACUACCGAUGGACGCCGCUCGCCACCCAUCGCUCGGCCGCGGCUCCCGCACUCGACGUCGGCCGGCUUGAUCUCGAUCGCUGGCGAAAUGCAUCGGAGUCAGGUUUGGAGAGGCAGGAAGAAGGAAGUAAGUGUCAGCCAAAAGAAACAUCGUCUGUCUUUCUUACAUUCCAAACACACAGCUUGGGGUAAUUGAUGGCAUAGGCAGCCAUGCACCUGGUUCUCAGGUGGGUAAACAGGUUUGAUCUCCUGGAUGAUGCAGCCCCGGAGUCGAAGCGACUAGAAUUGCACCGAAGGCAGGAUUGCCGCCACCAGCAGGUAUGCAAAAGCAACUGUAAUGUGCAUGCUGUCUUAGGUCAAAAACAAAUGGUUUGGAUGUGAAAUAUUAUGUUGGAUCUCAUCGAGUGGUCAACCAAAGGUGUGUUCUUAUACAUCACAUUCAUAAACUUAUUAAGCAGGUGUCAUUUGUUGUUGGCAAUAGCACACUUCCUGAGUUCAAUCUGUACACUAUGAUAAACGUCGAAUGAAGUUAAAACACUGUUUGUUCAAGAACUAGGACUUCUCAUUAUUUGUCAUGUUCAAGAACUUAUCAUCACCACACCUCGUUAUGAGCAUACAACUAUUUUGCAAUAGAGUAAAUCAAGCAUUUUAUUGUUUCUUAUUCUCUAAACUGAUAUCCUUGAGAUUCAUCAAUUAUGUGUGCACUUGUGAUUCGCAGAAACAGAAGUGGAAUAGCCAGAUUCGAUGAUUUAUCUGCCCUCUUGGCAGGGACUUGUCACCGGGCGACUCCCACGGAAAAGAUGCCACGGUCGAGGUUGAUCGAAGACAAUGAAGUGCUUACAUGCGUGCGUGCGUGCUACCUUUUUCUUCACAGGGUGAACAGUCGGUGUGACAAGUGUCCUCGAAGUUUGUCGCCCCUUUUCCUACAAUCCACGAGAGGAGGAGACAGUACGAGUCAGCAUCCAUCAGACGCACCAGGAAAGGAAAGGAGUGAAUCGUCUGCCAUGUCCAGGGAAGCUCACAUGGAUGCAUCACCCACCUCCCAUCCAAGCCCGGAUUUUCCUCAACUUUCCUGCAGAGGCUUACUGAUGAGAGGCUAUCAGAUGUCGAAUAUGGAUUUCGUAUCAUUGUUUCUGUUCCUAAGAAUAGUAUCCAUAUCAGAUCUUGCGCCGACAGAAUUAUCACAAAUUUUGAAUGUUCAAAGUAUACCGACAAGGACAGAUUUCAGAGAGUCCACGCUUCCAAACAAGAAACAUUAGGACCACAGAUAUGCAUUGUCAAGGUCCAAGAUGUGGCAAAUGUUUGGGCUCAUUCUCUUUGAGAUAAGAUGAAGAGUUCCAUCCACCGGUACAGCUUCUAGAGGGGAACUAAGCAAUACCAUCAGCCGAACAAGUCUGCAUGUCUCGAGUCAUCGAGGCAACCCACAAUACGGCAAGCUGAUGAGUGAUCCAUUAAAGAAAGCUUGGGAUGAAUGGAAUCCUACACAAAAGGACUGUUCUGUUAUCGAAGCAGGUUUAAUGAUUCUCCCGUCCAACCACUCGACCUAAAAGCUGCUUCUAAAAAUGAUGUCCCCCGAGAAAUGUCAACUUUAGGCCACUUCAUCUCAACUCAUAAAGAAUGCCCAUUUUGCGUGAACAGCUGCACCCGUUUCUUUUGCUGCAUGUUACAAGUUCGUUUUAUAUGUAUAUAUUUACAUAUAUAUAUGUUGAGGGGCUUCCAUCGACCUAAAUUAAUUAUUAAGAUGAUGUGACUAGUAAUGUGGAAACUAGACCUUAUGAGCCUUUGUUGGUCAAUAAAGACUGCAAGCACAAUGUCAAGGUACAUGUGGAAACAUUGGGGGGACAUCAAACAUAAAUCAAGUCACUGUCACUCCUUAGCAAGUUCAGACGUGGGCACAGUGUCAUCUAUUAUCUUUAUCUACUUAAAGUCUAGCCGGAGUACACAGACUUGAAAAUGCCGCCUGCCAUUGAUGGCAAAAAGAGUUUUGUACCCGGAAUGUGGGCACUGUGAGUUCCUGGUUUUCCUAAACAAGUGUAACAUAUGUAAAUUAUUUUUUUCUAUUUUCUUUUUCUCAU